GCCCGGCUGGCUGAGUCGGUAAAGCGUGUGACUCCUGAUCUCAGGGUUGUGAGUUCAAGUCCCACCUUGGGUG
rnacentral:tRNA from 1 species